rnacentral:rRNA from 1 species
UACGAAGGGGGCUAGCGUUGUUCGGAAUUACUGGGCGUAAAGCGCGCGCAGGCGGUCUUCCAAGUCAGUGGUGAAAGCCCGGAGCUCAACUCCGGAAUUGCCAUUGAAACUGUGAGACUGGAGUACGAGAGAGGUGAGUGGAAUUCCCAGUGUAGAGGUGAAAUUCGUAGAUAUUGGGAAGAACACCGGUGGCGAAGGCGGCUCACUGGCUCGUAACUGACGCUGAGACUCGAAAGCAUGGGGAGCAAACAGG